AGUUCCUUGGCAGUGUAGUUAGCUGAUUGCCAUCAGUACCAAUCACUAGCCACACAGCCAGGUAAAG
rfam:Calypte anna contig24641, whole genome shotgun sequence.